CCUCACACCCCCAGCCUCACACACCUGUCACCCUGCUGUCCACAAAAAUCGGAUUUGUUACCUGGGGUGCAACAAGCCAAUAAUUACACAUGUGAGACAUUCAUUUAUUUCAGAGUUGCAAAGCUUUGAUGCUCAGUGGUAUUCCACAAAUCAAACACACUAUCAACACUUUUUACUAUUUAUACAUUUUAGCAAACAAGGGAAUAGGUGUUACAAGCUAAAAGUUACCUCGUUCUCUUAUUAAUUAGUAGUCUAUCAGUUAAUGAGUCUCUCUUGCUAAUUAGUUUGCAUGCUCAGUCUUUCUCUUUUUUCUGGGGUCGGUGGUCCAUGAGUUGGUGGUGAGGGAUCUCCCCCUGCUGGAAUUGCUUUACCCAGUCGGAGCUGAUGUAGCACAGUUGCCGAGUUUGGAUUAUUAAUUUAUUCCUUAUCGUGGGAGUUCUGCCAGAUGUCCUUGUGUCCCGUAAAUUCUGCAUUCUUUGCGUCCACUAUCAGCAGUACAUCCUUCUUCCCAAGCUCUGUUAACCUCCCCCUCGGUCUGAGGUCAUUGAAACACGUUGAGCCCUAAGCCUUAACAAGGCAAUUCUAGCGACAAUUAAUUUGUCCUUCUAACACCUGGAGAUCCCUUAGAGCUCGUUGGCUGCUCCCCGUUUCACGGAUCUCUCUCUGAAAGUAUACUACGAUCACACGCCACGGAACAUCCCGUCUCAAGGCAAUGUUUACACAUUCCACAUUUGGUAAGAGCUCCCCCCCCAUUCCCACACGCCGCUUUCCCGCGCGCGGGCGCAGUCGCGAGGCGCUCCCACCGCCCGCCCUCGCGCCGGUUCCCGGCAGGCCCCGCGGCGGCAGCGCCGGGCCGCAGCUCCGUCCCGUCCCGCCGGGCGCUUCCCCCGCCAUGCGCCACAGCCUCACGCAGCUGCUGGCGGCCUCGGCCGGCGGGGCCAGCCCCUCGGGCGCCGUCUGGCCGCUGGCCGCAGCGGGGCAGGCCCCGAGAGGGCGGGAUGGCGGCGGGGAAGGGGACCCGGGCCCCGCGCGGCCCAAAGCGCAGCCGCCGCCGCGGCGGGAGCCGCCGGGCGCCUCGGAGCCGCGGCGGCAGGAGAAGGAGGCCGAGGCGCCCGGCGGCCUGCUGGAGGUGUGGGAGCAAGAGGACUGGUUCCCGGGGCUGGAGCUGGGAGACCUGCUGGAGGCCGCCCGGCCGGACUGGGACCUGGACGCGGAGCUGAGCGACUGCUUCUGUGGGGACCCCGAACCGCCGCCCGCGCCGGGCCGGGGCCCGCGGCCGGCGGCGCCCGGGCGGAGGAGCGGCGGGGCCGGCAGUCGGCUGAAGGCGGCGGCGGCGGCUCGGCUGAACCGGCUGAAGAAGAAGCAGUAUGUGCUGGGGCUGGAGAGCCGCCUGCAGGGCCUGGCUGCCGAGAACCGGCAGCUGCGGGACCGCAACCGCGGCCUGAGCCGCCGCCUGCGAGAGCUGGAGCGGGAGAGCAGCUACCUGCGGGCUGUGCUGGCCAACCAGAGCGCGCUGGGGCAGCUCCUGAGCCGCCUGGCCGGGACCCGCGCCGGCGGGCUGCAGCUCGGCACCAGCCUCUUCAGGGACACGGGCGGCCCCCGCCGCCAGCACCAGCACCUCCAGCCCGCCGGCGAGAGCAGCGACCACGACUACGCCCUGCCCAGCUCCCGGCCCCGUGGUCUGGAGGAGCCGGCGGCGGUGACUGGGACGGAGGAGGAGUGGGCGGCCCCCGGCGGGAUCUGCCUGCACGUGGACCGGGAUCAGGUGUCGGUGGAGUUCUGCUCCAUCUGUGCUCGGCGGGCGGCGGCCUCCUUCAAAAUUUUCUCUUUUAGGUGGUUGCCCUGCCAGGCUCCGUUGUGUAGGGGUUAAAGAACAGUCGUUUCCCACCUCGCAACCUGUGGAUUCAGCUGUGUUGGGGCAGAAGAGACGGGACCAGCUGCUGGCCACAUUUCCUGCUUUAUUUUAAAAGGUAAGUGGUUCUGUUGGUUAAAGUCUGAUGCCUUCCGGAGAUAUGACAAUUCACUGUCAUGUGAAAUACGUGGUCCAUGGGAAUCUCCAGUCGGGGUGAUUAAGGUAAGGCCAAGCUGUCUGGGUGCAGAACAGGAGGGAACACCACGUGUGACACAGCAAUACUUUGAAUCAAGGAAAGCUAAAUGAUCUCUACUAACAACAGUUUGUAUUGCUGCUUCCCCUGUACAAAUCAGGCUGCUGCUCCUGUGUAUAGAUAAAUAAUGUGUCAUGUUCCUGCUGCAAUGACCCAUUUUUAAGGAAAAAGUAGAUAAAGAUGAUGGAACUCCUUCAAUAUAUUUUCAUCAGCAUUACAGCAUAAAUUUUAACCCCUUUCAAUUAAAGGUCUCAAUGCUGAAUUCUUAAUUCUCGUUAAUAAAUAUUUUCAUGUGCAUGGAAUAAAUAUGUCCAUGUGCAGCUCAGGGGAUGCUAGAAUUUUAUUGAAGUGACUGUUGACCAGUAGCUGUAGAGCUUUUACAGUUAUAGAACCAUUUAGGUUUGGAACAGGCCCCCAGGAUCACUGAGUCCAGCCUUUCACCCAUCACCAGCUCUUCAACCAGACCAUGGCACCAAGUGCCACUUCCAGUGGUUUCUUGAACACCUCCAGGGAUGGGACUCCUGUCACCCUGGGCAGUCCAUUCCAGUGCUUAAUAAGCCCUUCUGCAAUGAAAUGCCUCCAACCUGAAACUCUCCUAGCACCGUUUGAGGCUGUUUCUUCCUGUCCUUCACUUGUCUGGGAGAAGCCAGCCCCUAUUCACCUAUGGCGAAUAUUGCUUCUGUAGAAGAAUUCCUGAUUUAGCUCUGACUGCAGAGUACACCUCAUGCAGUAGGAGAACUGCAAUUUAUAUUGCUCUAAAACAUACAGCCACCCAUGUGAAGACACACCUGACUCAUGAAGGCAUUACUCUGGACCACUGAUCUGAGAUGUAGCCGAGAUAUCCCAGUAAUGGCACCAGCCCUCAAAAGCCUCUCAGCACAGCCCCAUCCUUCAGGAAAAGACUUCAAGGCAAAACGGUUACAAGGCCAAAGGCUGGCUUUUUUAUAUGCUAGGAAGCCUGGCAGGACUAUGGUUGUUGACUGCUUUGUGAUAGAAGUGUUCUCUACAGUGUGACCCAUCUAAUGGUGUAAAAGGAGUAAUCUUGUGAUAGAAGUUUUGUGCUAGCAGAAUGGAGAAAAAUACUCAGAUUUUGAGUAGAUCUCUAGUAAAACCUUACCUUAAUCUUU